UACGUAGGGGGGCGAGCGUUAUCCGGAUUUACUGGGCGUAAAGCGCGUUAAGGCGGCCGGCAAAGUUGAGGGUGAAAUUUCGGGGCUCAACCCUGAAACUGCCUCCAAUACUGGUCGGCUAGAGUACGAGAGAGGAAGGUGGAAUUCCCGGUGUAGUAGUGAAAUGCGUAGAUAUCGGGAGGAACACCAGUGGCGAAGGCGGCCUUCUGGCUCGUAACUGACGCUGUAGCGCGAAAGCGUGGGGAGCGAACGGG
rnacentral:rRNA from 1 species